rnacentral:lncRNA from 1 species
GGGGUGUAUAUGGUUGGUUAUGUGUUGGGUUUUGCAUAUACAUGAAAUAUCUGAUCUGAUCUGUUAUGGGCCUAUGGGCUUAAUUCUGUAUUCUGUUCUGGGCUAAGGGUAAUUUAUUCUGUUUCUGUGGUUUGAACUGAUAUGGGCUAUGGUUGGGUUAAUUUUACACACUGAGUUUCCCCAAACUCAUCCCCUAUUUUCAUC